rnacentral:snRNA from 1 species
GUGUUCUCUUCAGCAGCACAUGUACUAAUAUUGGAACAAUACAGAGAAGAUUCGCAUGGCCCCUGCGCAAGGAUGACAAGUGCAUGCACUGCACCUUCUCCAU